GGAAGAAAGAAAUCAUCUAGAGAACUAGCAGGGAGUUGAGUGGGUCGAGGUUUCUCCCAUUCAAGAGAUACAGAAGGUAGACUGGGGGUAACAGACUUCUCAGGUUUAGUUAUGCUGGGCUUCUCAGCUUUUGCCACCUCCUUUGGAGCAGACUCUUGUCUGUAAAAAGAGGGAAGGGGUUUCUCUCCUUUCUCCAUGGACUUGAUCUGACUUGGGGUCAAGGACUGGAACUCAGACUUGUCUCCUUCAAACUUGGAACGCUCUGCAUUUAUUUUCCAGAAAGAGGACUCCUCAUCCUUUCUGGGUGCUGUUAACCCAUCAGAGCCAGGGGUCUUAGCCUGAGAAGAUUUAGAGACUUGGACACCAGGUGCUGCUUUAAGUGGCUGCCUCUGUUCAUUUUGUGUCUGGGCACCACUCUGCUCUUGUAUGGACAGAGAUGCAAUACUGAACUCCAUUUGACUCUUCGUUUCCCAGGAGAAUGGAGCCGAGUGCUCAUCUUGCCAAGUUAUAUCCUCGUCGCCGAAGCGCACCACCUUCUGGCCCGUGUUGAGGCGCAGGCUGGGGUAGGAGGCGGGCGCCGCGGGCGGGCGGGUGGUGCCGCGGUGCGCGGCGUAGCGGGCCUGGACGUGCGGCUCCACCAGGCACUUGUCGAUGAUCUCGUCCUGCUGGCGGGGCGGCAGCCGCUCCCACUCGGGCCCGUAGCGCUCGCGGAUCCGCUCCUUCUCCGCCAUGAUCUUGCGCGCCAUGGGGCUCAGAGAGGAGAAGUAGCUGAACCGCUUGCGCUCCCGCUCGUCCAGCGGCCGGUUGCCGUUCAUCACCGCCGUGCGGGAGGCGGCGAUCGCCGCCGCCAUCGAGGCCAUGGCCGCCUCGCCGGCGCCGGCCCCGCGCGCACCGAACCGGCCGCGCUGUACGGCGGAGCGGGAUCCGCCUCCUCCUUCUCCCGUCCCUUCCCUUCCCCGCUCCG
rnacentral:lncRNA from 1 species